GUGACUGUCUGCAUCAUCCCAGUAUCUUCCUGCUCACAGGUUACCAUCUGUUUGAGAUUGCUGCUGGCAUGUUCCAGUUUGGGAUUGUCUUCUAGAUGGUACUGUAAAAGCCAUGGUCACCCUGUCAACUCCUCAGGACAAUGCAC
rnacentral:lncRNA from 1 species